AAAUCUCAACCUUCUCGGUUUCUUCUGAACACCGAAGGAGGCUUGGACUUUGGAGGCCUUUGCUGGCGUCUCUCGCCAGCUCCUCUCAAAUGAAUUAGCGGGGUCCUCUUUGCCGAUCCUCGACAUGUGAUAAGAUGUUUCCAUGUCUUGGCUUUAUGGCUCUGUUGCCUUUGGGACCCGCUUCUAACCGUCUCAGCGAGACAACGUUCGAGCGUGUCUCCCCUCUCGGGGAAACGCUCUUGAACCCACGAAA
rnacentral:misc_RNA from 2 species